UACGUAGGGUGCGAGCGUUGUCCGGAAUUAUUGGGCGUAAAGGGCUCGUAGGCGGUCUGUUGCGUCAGGAGUGAAAACUCGGGGCUUAACCCCGAGCCUGCUUCUGAUACGGGCAGACUAGAGGUAUGCAGGGGAGAACGGAAUUCCUGGUGUAGCGGUGAAAUGCGCAGAUAUCAGGAGGAACACCAGUGGCGAAGGCGGCUCGCUGGGACGUUACUGACACUGAGGCGCGAAAGCGUGGGGAGCGAACAGG
rnacentral:rRNA from 1 species